rnacentral:rRNA from 1 species
CCCGCUGACGAGCGGCGGACGGGUGAGUAACGCGUGGGAAUCUGCCUGGUAGUGGGGGAUAGCCCGGCGAAAGCCGGAUUAAUACCGCAUACGCCCUUUGGGGGAAAGUGGGGGACCUUCGGGCCUCACGCUAUCAGAUGAGCCCGCGUCGGAUUAGCUAGUUGGUGAGGUAAAGGCUCACCAAGGCGAUGAUCCGUAGCUGGUCUGAGAGGAUGAUCAGCCACACUGGGACUGAGACACGGCCCAGACUCCUACGGGAGGCAGCAGUGGGGAAUAUUGGACAAUGGGGGCAACCCUGAUCCAGCCAUGCCGCGUGUGUGAAGAAGGCCUUCGGGUUGUAAAGCACUUUCAGUGGUGAGGAAAGGCAAGCGGUUAAUACCCGUUUGCUGUGACGUUAGCCACAGAAGAAGCACCGGCUAACUCCGUGCCAGCAGCCGCGGUAAUACAGAGGGUGCGAGCGUUAAUCGGAAUUACUGGGCGUAAAGCGCGCGUAGGUGGUUCAGUCAGUCAGAUGUGAAAGCCCCGGGCUUAACCUGGGAACUGCACCUGAUACUGCUGAACUAGAGUACGGUAGAGGGCAGUGGAAUUUCCGGUGUAGCGGUGAAAUGCGUAGAGAUCGGAAGGAACACCAGUGGCGAAGGCGACUGCCUGGACCGAUACUGACACUGAGGUGCGAAAGCGUGGGUAGCAAACAGGAUUAGAUACCCUGGUAGUCCACGCCGUAAACGAUGUCAACUAGCCGUUGGGGGACUUGAUCCUUUAGUGGCGCAGCUAACGCGAUAAGUUGACCGCCUGGGGAGU